GGAGAUUUAGCUCAGUGGUAGAGCUCUUGCCUAUCAAGCGCAAGGCCCUGGGUUCGGUCCCCAGCUCCG
rfam:Rattus norvegicus chromosome 3, whole genome shotgun sequence.